rnacentral:rRNA from 1 species
CUACGGGGUGCAGCAGUUAGGAAUAUUUUGCAAUGCGCGAAAGCGUGACAAAUUGAGCCAGAGUGAUUUUCAUAUUGAAAAUCUUUUGUGAAAUUUAAAAAGUUUUACGAAUAAGGACUGGGUAAGACUAGUGCCAGCCGCCGCGGUAAUACUAGCGGUCCAAGUCGCAGCCAUUUUUAUUGGGUCUAAAACAUCCGUAGCUUGCUUGAUAAGUUUCUUGUGAAAUUUUAUAUCUUAAAUAUAAAGCGUGCAAGAAUUACUGCCAAGCUAGAGACUGGAAGACGUAAGAAGUACAUGCAGAGUAACAGUAAAAUGUGUUAAUCCUGUAUGGACUCACAACAGCGAAGGCAUCUUACGAGGACAGUUCUGACAGUAAGGGAUGAAGGCUAGGGGCGCAAAACGGAUUAGAUACCCUUGUAGUC